GGUGAAGGAUGUUGGAGUUUGCUUGGUUCAGGUGUAGAUGGGAAGAGCAGAGAGACUGUAGGGCUUCGAACCGUGUCGGGAGUGACUAUAACUCGUGGAUCAACACUCUGAGGUCCGACUUCACCCGUGACUUGAGGCGACGCAACAGGGUGGAGGCCGAGGCGGAGAAACUGUAGGUUGUGUUGCGGAGAGUGAUGGAAUGACGAUUGACUGAUACGUUGACCCCUUGGAGAUACUUGCACAUUGACACUGACACAAGCCAUCAGUAUCUAAGGGAACCAUGGGCGUUGUGAUGGUGAACAGUGACAAGCUGACUCGCACCAAGGAUGAGUGGGACUGCCGCAUUGACCCUGGCACCCGUGGAAAGGAUCUGGUGGUGCAGGUGCGUGGGAGAGGCGCUGGGAGGAGGAACUGGGUUGAAAGAACACGUGGAAGUGAUAGGAGAUAUUAUGUUAGACUGGGAAAGGGAGAGUAAGGAUGUAAAAUAAAGUGAUAGGGAGUGUAUUAAACUGA